rnacentral:rRNA from 1 species
UUGCUCCCGGAUGUUAGCGGCGGACGGGAUGAAGUAACACGUGGGUAACCUGCCUGUAAGACUGGGAUAACUCCGGGAAACCGGAGCUAAUACCGGAUAGUUCCUUGAACCGCAUGGUUCAAGGAUGAAAGACGGUUUCGGCUGUCACUUACAGAUGGACCCGCGGCGCAUUAGCUAGUUGGUGGGGUAAUGGCUCACCAAGGCGACGAUGCGUAGCCGACCUGAGAGGGUGAUCGGCCACACUGGGACUGAGACACGGCCCAGACUCCUACGGGAGGCAGCAGUAGGGAAUCUUCCGCAAUGGACGAAAGUCUGACGGAGCAACGCCGCGUGAGUGAUGAAGGUUUUCGGAUCGUAAAGCUCUGUUGUUAGGGAAGAACAAGUGCGAGAGUAACUGCUCGCACCUUGACGGUACCUAACCAGAAAGCCACGGCUAACUACGUGCCAGCAGCCGCGGUAAUACGUAGGUGGCAAGCGUUGUCCGGAAUUAUUGGGCGUAAAGGGCUCGCAGGCGGUUUCUUAAGUCUGAUGUGAAAGCCCCCGGCUCAACCGGGGAGGGUCAUUGGAAACUGGGAAACUUGAGUGCAGAAGAGGAGAGUGGAAUUCCACGUGUAGCGGUGAAAUGCGUAGAGAUGUGGAGGAACACCAGUGGCGAAGGCGACUCUCUGGUCUGUAACUGACGCUGAGGAGCGAAAGCGUGGGGAGCGAACAGGAUUAGAUACCCUGGUAGUCCACGCCGUAAACGAUGAGUGCUAAGUGUUAGGGGGUUUCCGCCCCUUAGUGCUGCAGCUAACGCAUUAAGCACUCCGCCUGGGGAGUACGGUCGCAAGACUGAAACUCAAAGGAAUUGACGGGGGCCCGCACAAGCGGUGGAGCAUGUGGUUUAAUUCGAAGCAACGCGAAGAACCCUACCAGGUCUUGACAUCCUCUGACAACCCUAGAGAUAGGGCUUUCCCUUCGGGGACAGAGUGACAGGUGGUGCAUGGUUGUCGUCAGCUCGUGUCGUGAGAUGUUGGGUUAAGUCCCGCAACGAGCGCAACCCUUGAUCUUAGUUGCCAGCAUUCAGUUGGGCACUCUAAGGUGACUGCCGGUGACAAACCGGAGGAAGGUGGGGAUGACGUCAAAUCAUCAUGCCCCUUAUGACCUGGGCUACACACGUGUUGCUACGGACAGAACAAAGGGCUGCAAGCCUGCAAGGCUUAGCCAAUCCCAUAAAUCUGUUAUCAGUUCGGAUCGCAGUCUGCAACUCGAAUGCGUGAAGCUGGAAUCGCUAGUAAUCGCGGAUCACCAUGCCGCGGUGAAUACGUUCCCGGGCCUUGUACACACCGCCCGUC